CCACGGCCCCGCCGGUUACUUUCAGCAGAGGAUCCGAGAGUGUCCACGAGCGGGCUGUUAUUUGUGUCACACAAAGGAAUGUUGUAAUCAUCCUCUAAGACCCUCCUUGGGGGACCACCGUGCCCUGGUUUUGAAGAGCUUUGGCAGAUGCCGCUUUGAGAGUUGCUGUUUGAAACUCAAGAGCACCCAUCACGGGCCGUCGGGGCCACGGCUUAUCCAUCAUUGCAAAGAUCUCUCCGAGGCAUGGAGCAGAGGCAGCCCUGCCCAGAGGGGUUGGAAAAUGAGCGGCACAUGGGGCCCUCAGUCCCAGGACCUCCUUGGCUCGGCUCCCGGGGAAGGGCGUGGGCUCCUUGGUCUGGAAACCGCCCAGGGAAGGCCUCUGGGGAGGUGAAGGCGCACGGCUUCAGAAAAAUGGCACAUCUCCGUGGCUUUGGUGUCCAGGUCUGCCGUUCAGGGCUGUCCACUCGGAUUCCCCCAUUUUCGCCCAGCCCCGAGACCAACUUAGAGGAGGGGGGAAGCUCACACCUCAGAGAUCCAGACACCUGCCGCAGUGCUGGGGAGGGGAUGCUAGUGAAGGUGGGAAUGGUGUUUCUAAGCAGCUCUGGAAGGUGAGCAAAUUCCGGUACCUCAGCAUUGUCUCAGGAACCUGCCUGCAUCCUUGCUCCUCUGCGUUCCCUUCCUCCAAGUGACGAGGGGCUGUGAACUCUCCGACCCGCCCAGGUGGAAUUCUGAGAUCGUCAGAAGUCCCUCCUUUAAGGCUCAGUUCCAUGAGUAUCACACUGCUGGGGAGACUUUGGGGGUGGGGGAAGCAACAAGUUUGAGCCAAGAACCCAUGAUUGAAAUUCUCCACCAAUAAAUUCCUCCCAGCUGAG